rnacentral:rRNA from 1 species
UCGGGAAUUUUGGGCAUUGGGCGAAAGCCUGACCCAGCAACGCCGCGUGAGGGAUGAAGUAUUUCGGUAUGUAAACCUCGAAAGAAUGGGAAGAAUAAAUGACGGUACCAUUUAUAAGCUCCGGCUAACUACGUGCCAGCAGCCGCGGUAAUACGUAGGGAGCAAGCGUUGUUCGGAUUUACUGGGCGUAAAGGGCGCGUAGGCGGCGCGGUAAGUCACUUGUGAAAUCUCUGAGCUUAACUCAGAACGGCCAAGUGAUACUGCUGUGCUAGAGUGCGGAAGAGGCGACCGGAAUUCUUGGUGUAGCGGUGAAAUGCGUAGAUAUCAAGAGGAACACCUGAGGCGAAGGCGGGUUGCUGGGCCGACACUGACGCUGAUGCGCGAAAGCCAGGGGAGCAAACG